GACGAACGCUGGCGGCGUGCCUAAUACAUGCAAGUCGAGCGAAUCAAAGGGAGCUUGCUCCCUGAAAUUAGCGGCGGACGGGUGAGUAACACGUGGGCAACCUGCCUAUAAGACUGGGAUAACUUCGGGAAACCGGAGCUAAUACCGGAUAAUUCUUUUCUACACAUGUAGGAAAGCUGAAAGACGGUUUACGCUGUCACUUAUAGAUGGGCCUGCGGCGCAUUAGCUAGUUGGUGAGGUAACGGCUCACCAAGGCGACGAUGCGUAGCCGACCUGAGAGGGUGAUCGGCCACACUGGGACUGAGACACGGCCCAGACUCCUACGGGAGGCAGCAGUAGGGAAUCUUCCGCAAUGGACGAAAGUCUGACGGAGCAACGCCGCGUGAGUGAUGAAGGUUUUCGGAUCGUAAAACUCUGUUGUUAGGGAAGGAUAAGUACUAGAGUAACUGCUAGUACCUUGACGGUACCUAACCAGAAAGCCACGGCUAACUACGUGCCAGCCGCCGCGGUAAAAC
rnacentral:rRNA from 1 species